rnacentral:misc_RNA from 1 species
GAACAAACUACUAGUGAAAUUUUAACAGCACUAGUCAUAGCUCCAGGUAUCCCCAGCUCAAUUUCAAUCGGAUGGACAUUGAAGUGAAAUGCAAAAGCUGUUACGAUGACUGGGAUGGCGGUGAAGAGAUUAAAGAAGGAAGAAGUAGUAUUCAACUCCGGCAGCAUUCUUGGCUUUACUAUUUGCCCUUUUACGAUUGCAAUGAUUGCCAUUACAGAACAUAUACCAACAAAUACAACUGCUAGGAUAAUUGCUAUUGCUGAACUGAGCCAUAAUGAUUCUACACGACGGUAUAGGACUAGAGGAAGCACAACAAGCAAGACAGUGAGAAGGAUCGAUAGAUAACGAGAAUUCCACCAAUGAAUCCCAAACCAUUCUUGAAGGACACCAA